GGCCGCGCUGGCCGGGCUCCGCCUCCCGCCGGCGGUCAGAGACGCCCCCCACGGUCAGCGCUGGGAGGGGGAGGGGGUGACCUGCAGGAAAUGCCGGGCCGGGUUGCCGAGCUUCAGCCCGGAGCCCCUCCUCAGCAAUGCCAGCCGCUUCUGCUGGCGUCAGGAUGCUGCCUUUUCUGGUGUAUGUGAGGUCUGAACUGCCCCCAGAGCUGUACUGCAGGAAUUGAAAGCCCAUCUGCAGCACCUGGGUGGAGAAUUUGCCUUCUCCACUCACCACACCAGUAUCAGCUGAUGGUGCAAACUAUGAUGGCUGUGACACUGCAUUUCCUCUUUGGGAUGUCCACCUAGAAGAUGAAAGAGGAGAAAUCGCCAGCCCAGAAUUUGGAACCAGCUGGUUGCACUAAUAGUUUUGUGGUGCCCCUGCUUCAGACUCCCCCCCCCGCCAUUUGUCUCUCCAUCUUUCUCCCUCUCGAAUCUGACCUGCCAUGUAGUGCCCUAUGCUCUACACCUCCGACUACGCUGUUCCUCUCUCUGUGAAUCUCUUUCUCCUGCUCAUCUGCUGAGAUACAACCUUCUCCUCAAAAACCUUUUUCUCAAAAACUUUCUCACCACUCAUCCAGUGUAUGUCUCACAUUGGUCCCUAGCAAGUGUGACAACUGGGAUCUUGAGGACACUGGACCACUUUGUUUAGCUGUUCAUUCUGUCUAGCUCAGGUUCUUUUGGCUCACUGAUGUGAUAUUUCCAUUGCAGGUGAACAUGCUGCUUUUCCAUGGUGGACUUGGUGGGCAAGACCAUGUCCCUUGCUUCAUUGGUUCAAUGCCAUGAGGCUGGAAGCAAAUUUCUUCACUCUGCCUUUGUUUCUUGCUCAUCAGAGACUGUGACCACCUCUGCUACUGUCUUUCCAGCCAUCCCUUCCCUCACAGACUCUGGAUGUGAUGUUUCCUUCAAACCUACAGCCCCUUGUGCUAAUGAGUGGCUAUCCUUUGUAACAGAAUCAAAUCAGGACCACAGCACUGAUGUGGCUCAAGUCUUCUUCCCUGGGGUCCAGCCCUUUCAACAAUGAACUCAAGUAUGACAUCGCUGACUACCCCAGUCCUGGCAGACCGCUCUCCCUUUACACCUCCCCAAGCUUUGUUUCUUUGAAAAUGUGUAAGGCUUGUUUCUGUCAGUAGAGUAUAAUUACCUCAAAAGCAGAGACCAUGAUUAUAAUAG
rnacentral:lncRNA from 1 species